UGCGCAUUAGCCGUAGUUGUGCCA
rnacentral:siRNA from 1 species